rnacentral:rRNA from 1 species
UUCAGGGGUAAACCUGAGAAGCCCGAAAGGUCGAAAGGGGAAAUUCAUUCGCGUUUCGGCCGUCGGCGUCGAAUGGUCGCGUGACGGACGUCGUUCGCGCGACGUCUGCGCCUUCCGUUCUUCGAACCGGCGUCGAACGCGUGCACUUUUCCUCUAGUAGGACGUCGCGAUCCGUUGGGUGUCGGUCUAAGACUCGCGGUGGAGACCGUGCGAACGUUUCACGACGUUUCGCACGGACCCGCGAUGAUAUUCCGGCCGACUCGCUCGACGGUAUACAGAUGGCGCGGGGCCGCUACACAGUUAGCGUUCGGCCCGCGGCAAGCGCGUUCGGCGUUUGACGGCGAUCGGACCUGGUGCCGGUCCUGUCCCCGAACGACUGUUGGCCGCGUGUGUUCUCGAACAGACCUCGUAUCUCGAAACGCCGAUCUGCGACGCUAUAGCUUUGGGUACUUUCAGGACCCACGGACCAAGGAGUCUAGCAUGUGCGCGAGUCAUUGGGACAUAACUAAACCUAAAGGCGUAAUGAAAGUGAAGGUCCGCCUCGCGCGGAUCGAGGGAAGAUGAGCGGUUCGCCCUUAAAGUGGCCGCUCCGCACUCCCGGGGCGUCUCGUUCUCAUCGCGAGAAGAGGCGCACCAAGAGC